UCAGCCGCAAGGCAAAGCCCCGAAUCGAAGCCCCGGUAAACGGCGGCCGUAACUAUAACGGUCCUAAGGUAGCGAAAUUCCUUGUCGGGUAAGUUCCGACCUGCACGAAUGGCAUAACGACUUCCCCACUGUCUCGGAGAGGCCCUCAGCGAAGUAGCACUAGGGGUGAAGAUACCCUUUACCCGCGGCAGGACGGAAAGACCCCGUGAACCUUUACUGUAACUUGGCACUGAUUUUCGGGUUAGCUUGCGUAGGAUAGGUGGGAGGCUAUGAAGCCGGGAUUCCGGUCUCGGCAGAGCCAACCUUGAAAUACCACCCUGGCUAACCUAAAAAUCUAACUCGCUUCCGUAAUCCGGAAGGAGGACAAUGCCUGGUGGGCAGUUUGACUGGGGCGGUCGCCUCCCAAAAAGUAACGGAGGCGCGCGAAGGUUCCCUCAGCCUGAUUGGAAACCAGGCGCAGAGUGUAAUGGCAUAAGGGAGCUUGACUGCGAGACAAACAAGUCGAGCAGGUGCGAAAGCAGGUCAUAGUGAUCCGGUGGUCCUGUAUGGAAAGGCCAUCGCUCAACGGAUAAAAGGUACUCCGGGGAUAACAGGCUUAUCACGCCCAAGAGUUCACAUCGACGGCGUGGUUUGGCACCUCGAUGUCGGCUCAUCGCAUCCUGGGGCUGAAGUAGGUCCCAAGGGUUCGGCUGUUCGCCGAUUAAAGCGGUACGCGAGCUGGGUUCAAAACGUCGUGAGACAGUUUGGUCCCUAUCCGCCGUGGGCGCAGGAGACUUGAGAGGAGCUAACCUUAGUACGAGAGGACCGGGUUGGACUGACCUCUAGUGUUCCGGUUGUGGCACCAGCCGCAUCGCCGGGUAGCUACGUCGGGAAUGGAUAACCGCUGAAAGCAUCUAAGCGGGAAGCCAGCCUCAAGAUUAGGUCUCCCAGGUCGUAAGACCCUAAAGGCCCCUCGUAGACCACGAGGUAAUAGGCUGGGUGUGGAAGCGUAGUAAUACGUGAAGCUGACCAGUACUAAUCGGCCGUGCGGCUUGACCAU
rnacentral:rRNA from 1 species